UUAUCCGGAUUUAUUGGGUGUAAAGGGUGCGUAGACGGGAGAACAAGUUAGUUGUGAAAGCCCUCGGCUUAACUGAGGAACUGCAACUAAAACUAUUUUUCUUGAGUGCAGGAGAGGAAAGCGGAAUUCCUAGUGUAGCGGUGAAAUGCGUAGAUAUUAGGAGGAACACCAGUGGCGAAGGCGGCUUUCUGGACUGUAACUGACGUUGAGGCACGAAAGUGUGGGGAGCAAACAGGAUUAGAUACCCUGGUAGUCCACACCGUAAACGAUGGAUACUAGGUGUAGGAGAUGAUUUCAUCAUCUGUGCCGAAGCAAACGCAAUAAGUAUCCCACCUGGGGAGUACGGCCGCAAGGUUGAAACUCAAAGGAAUUGACGGGGGCCCGCACAAGCAGUGGAGUAUGUGGUUUAAUUCGAAGCAACGCGAAGAA
rnacentral:rRNA from 1 species